CCUACGGGAGGCAGCAGUGGGGAAUAUUGCACAAUGGGGGAAACCCUGAUGCAGCGACGCCGCGUGAGUGAAGAAGUAAUUCGUUAUGUAAAGCUCUAUCAGCAGGGAAGAAAAUGACGGUACCUGAGUAAGAAGCCCCGGCUAACUACGUGCCAGCAGCCGCGGUAAUACGUAGGUGGCAAGCGUUGUCCGGAAUUACUGGGUGUAAAGGGAGCGUAGGCGGGAAGAAAAGUUGAAUGUUUAAACUAUCGGCUCAACCGAUAAUCGCGUUUAAAACUGUUUUUCUUGAGUGAAGUAGAGGCAGGCGGAAUGCCUAGUGUAGCGGUGAAAUGCGUAGAUAUUAGGAGGAACACCAGUGGCGAAGGCGGCCCGCUGGGCUUUAACUGACGCUGAGGCUCGAAAGCGUGGGUAGCAAACAGGAUUAGAUACCCGGGUAGUC
rnacentral:rRNA from 1 species